rnacentral:rRNA from 1 species
GGGCCCGCACAAGCGGUGGAGUAUGUGGUUUAAUUCGAUGCAACGCGAAGAACCUUACCAGGGUUUGACAUCCUGCGAAUCUCUUGGAAACAGGAGAGUGCCUUCGGGAACGCAGUGACAGGUGGUGCAUGGCUGUCGUCAGCUCGUGUCGUGAGAUGUUGGGUUAAGUCCCGCAACGAGCGCAACCCUUAUCCUUAGUUGCCAUCACGUUUGGGUGGGCACUCUAGGGAAACUGCCGGUGCUAAGCCGGAGGAAGGCGGGGAUGACGUCAAGUCCUCAUGGCCCUUACGGGUAGGGCUACACACGUGCUACAAUGGCAGUGACAAUGGGAUAAUCCCCAAAAGCUGUCUCAGUUCGGAUUGUCGGCUGCAACUCGCCGGCAUGAAGUUGGAAUCGCUAGUAAUCGU